GUUCUCUUUCUCUCUAACAAGCACUCAAGGGCAAGGAUAUGAUAAAUAUUUAGGUACACCCCUCCCCACCAAGAGAUUGGGGGGUGAAGAGCUGGGCACGCAUCUGACAUUUCUUCCUCUAUUCCUAUAAAAAUAAAAGGAAGCAGAAAUCUGCUUCAAUGAGUAAACAAGUCACCUACACUCCAAAAUAACCCAUGCACACUGUUUCUGGGGAGGGAGAUGGCCAGGCCAGGAGAGUUGGGCCACAUGAUGGGGGACAUUCACUCUGCCACCUGCAGCACCCCUGUACUGGGGAGGGGUGGCCAGUGCCACAGUGGACUCUGAGAUGAAAGGGUGUUUCUUCCACUGGCC
rnacentral:lncRNA from 1 species